UGCUCCUGGAUGAGCCUCUGUCCCUGUAAUCAGGAGCACAGAGCCUGUGAGUAAGCGAAGGACAAAUGCACCCUCAAGCCCUGCACUUCCCCUGCCGCCAGGGAUACAGUCUGACUCUGACCCUCAGGGUCGCGCCCUUUGUGCACUCCUGGCUCCUGAGGACAGCAAGUUCCGGUGCCGAGCCAGAAACUUCCCAACUCCAGACGCACAGAUCUAACGCUCUCUGCUGACCCUCCCCUUUGUGCAUCUAACGGGCUGCCGCUGAGCCUCGGCGUCCCCCGGUGUCCCCCCAGGGUCCCGGCAGCAGAAGAUCGAGAUCCAGCUGCAGGUGCAGGAGGCGGUGUCCGUGCAGGAGGGCCUGUGCGCGCUCGUGCCCUGCUCCUUCUCCUACCCCUGGAGCCCGUGGCCUGAGCCACCGCACAUCUCCUGGUUCUGGAACAGGCACAGCGUAUUCUACACUCCUCCCGUGGCCACAAACAAGCCGAACACACCAGUGAAUCCACAGCCCGUGUAGACAAGACUCAGCAUCUCCGUAACUUGGGGUCUCCCCUGCAAUGGGGAGCGGGGACCCCAGCUGGCUCUCCUCCCCGCGCCCAGCCCCGUGGUUCCAAGUUCCCCUUCCCGGGACGGCCGCAGCUCUCUCCUCCCCCCACCCCCUUCCUGUUGGGGCUCCUCGGCCCCACCCCCGCACUCGGGACGUUUCCUUCCCUGACAGGGGCCUGGACGCGCCCCGGCCCUGCAGACGCCGACAUGCUGCCGCUGCUUCUGCUGCCCCUGCUGUGGGCGGGGUCCCGGCAGCAGAAGAUCGAGAUCCAGCUGCAGGUGCAAGAGGCGGUGUCCGUGCAGGAGGGCCUGUGCGCGCUCGUGCCCUGCUCCUUCUCCUACCCCUGGAGCCUGUGGCCUGAGCCUCCGCACAUCUCCUGGCUCUGGAACAGGCACAGCGUAUCCUACACUCCUCCCGUGGCCACAAACAAGCCGAACACACCGGUGAAUCCACAGACGCAGGGCCGGUUCCGCCUCCUCGGGGACCCGAGGACCAACUGCUCCCUGCACAUCAGGGACGCACGGAGGAGCGACGCGGGGACCUACCUGGUCCGAGUGGAGAGACGAAGGAGGGGAAGCUAUUACUACGGAGAUGAGAGGCUGGCCUUGCGGGUGACAGACCUGACAGAGACCCCCGACAUCCGCUUUCCGGAACCUCUGGAGUCCGGCCGCCCCACAAACCUGACCUGCAGCCUGCCAGGGGCCUGUGAGGGGAGCCGAGCACUCACCUUCUCCUGGUCGGGGGCUGCCCUUAACUCCUCGGACCCCAGAACCCUCCACUCCUCGGUGCUCACCCUCACCCCGAGGCCCCAGGACCACGGCACCAACCUCACCUGUCGGGUGCAACUCCAGGAAGCCCCAGGGGCCACAGAGAGGACUGUGCAGCUCCCCGUCUCCUGUGAGUGCCCUGUGGGCAGUGGGGGCAGAAGGGGAAGGUCAGGUCCUGGGGUUCUAUCUCCAGAGGGGACUGAGGGAAGUCCCCAAACCCUUCCCUUCCUUUUCUAUGAGUCCUCGGGCAAAGGGCAUAAGCCCCACCUGUCCCCCUCAGCACAUCCUCUCCUGCCAGCCUCUCCUGGGUUCCUGACCACCAGCUUUCCCCUGGGAAACCUCACAGGCCCCUCUGGCUGCCGUGUGUGUCCCGGGAGGAGGAGGGCUCCUGGCCCCUGGUCCUCACCCUGAUCAGGGGCUCCCUCAUGGCAGCUGGCUUCCUCCUCACUUAUGGCCUCACCUGGAUCUACUACACCAGGUGUGGAGGUCCCCACGGGAGCAGGGCCGAGAGGGUGACUGAGGCCGCCUCCUUCUCAAGACAGGGCUGAGGUGGGGACAUGGAGCCCAGAGGGACAGACGUGGGGACAUCACAUCACCGUCUCCCUGGAAACACGCUGCCCACACCCCACUGAUUGCCCCUGCCCCACCCUCCAUCUCCUGCCCCCUCCUGACUGACACCCCCAGCUUUGUGGUUGAAGGGUUAGCUCUUGUGCCUCUGUCCUCCCCACCCCACACUGCAUUUCGCCUUUUUAACACUCAAGCUUCUGGCCUCCUAAACUUUCCUAUCAGUUUGUCUGUAGACAUAAAUACGUCUCCUCUCUCACCACUAAAGACCCUUGUCUCAUUAUACUCAACAUAAAAUAUUACAAUAUAUAGUUAGUGAAGGUUUUAUUAAACAACAUACAAUAUAAAAUAGAAUCCAUAAAAGACCAAUUUUAUUAAUUAUGACCUCCAUGGCAAUUUUUUAGAGCAAAGUUUUUUGUUCUUUCUUAUUUUAAAAAGUUUCAGCUAACUCUUCUUUAGUCAUCAUUUUUAUUGAGGUUGAAGCCACAUGGAGUGUGCAAAUCUCAAACAAACCAUUAGAUGAGCUUUUAGAUAUGUCUCAUACACUCAUGAAGUCAUCACCCAAAUCAAGAAACAGAAUAAUCCCAGCACCCCGAAGCCCCUGUCAGUCAACACAACUCACACGUCACCUCCAUUCUCCCUCGUGGUGAGACUGUAGACCAGGAGUUCCAGGUGGUUUUUUUAAUUGCAUAUGAGUGGCAUCAAGCAAUAUGUAUGUUUGGGGUCUGGCUUCUUUUGCUAAGUAUUUCUUUUUGAGUAUCAACCAUGUUGAUUCCUCUUAAUAUCGAUGCUGAGCUGUAUUCCUUGUUGCAACUAUACCUCCAUGAAUUUUUCCACGGGUUGUUUCCAUUCAGGGCUUUAUUACUGACUUUGCUCUGAAUACUUUUCUCAUGGCUAUAUGCCAAGGAGUGCAAUGGCCACUUAUGGGACAGCAUUUGUUUAGCUUUGGUGGACACUGCCAAAUGUUUGUUCAAAGUGGGGGUGCCAACUGUGGCAGUUUGAAGCUGUUAUUUUUCCCAGAAAAGAUCCGUGUUCUUUUAAUUGAUUCCUGUGAGUGUACACCUAUUGUGGAUGGGACCUUUUUAUUAUUUAUUGAUUUUGGAUCAAGCUACUAUGCCAAAUUCACAUAUUAAUUCCAAUAGUUUGCUUAUAAAACUUUUUGGAUUUUCUAAGUGUUACUAUCCUGUCGUAGAAAACAAUGACACUUUAAUUCUUCCUUUCAAAGUGUUAUGUCUUUUAUUAUUCAUCCUGCUUCAUUGCACCCCCUAGUAAUUUCACUACAAUUUUGAAUAGAAGUGGUAUUAGUGGAUAUAUUUGAUUCUUUUCUUGACCUUGGGGGCAAAGUGUACAAUAUUCCAGUAUUAAAUAUGAUACUUGGAAGCCUAUGCCACAUAAGUGCAGUGAAUCCACAGUGGUUCCCACCAAAACAAUACUCCUUCACAUUAUAAUUGGUUCACAUACAGGUUUUAGAAGUGUGUUAAAUUCAUUGGUCAUAGUUUAACAUUUGGAGAUAUUGCACAGUAAUCUGGACAUCUAACUUUUCUUGAAAUUUUGGAGUAUCUGGCAUUCGCACAUACAGUGACCACCGGGGGUGGAGCAGGAGCUGGCCCCUCACCUUGCUGCACCCCCCACCCCCGCCCAGGUGCUACCAUCUCCCCUGCACUGAGCCCUUUUGUCAGUUCAUGUGCUGCAGUGUUUUUCUUAACCUAGGCCUAUUACGCUCAUUUUCUAUCCCUAACUCCCUCCUGUAGAGAUUUAAUUUUUUUUUUUUUGUAGAGAUUUAAUUUUGUAACUCCUGGGAAAAAAGAUACACUGACCCAUCAAAUAAAAAUUCCUCUAGCCAAGGG